rnacentral:rRNA from 1 species
GCCUACAGGGCGCAGCAGUGGGGAAUAUUGCACAAUGGGGGAAACCCUGAUGCAGCAACGCCGCGUGAGUGAUGACGGCCUUCGGGUUGUAAAGCUCUGUCUUCAGGGACGAUAAUGACGGUACCUGAAGAAAAAGCAUCGGCUAACUCCGUGCCAGCAGCCGCGGUAAUACGGAGGAUGCGAGCGUUAUCCGGAUUUAUUGGGUUUAAAGGGUGCGUAGGCGAAAUGCCAAGUCAGCGGUAAAAUCGCGGGGCUCAACCUCGCUCCGCCGUUGAAACUGGCGUUCUUGAGUGGGCGAGAAGUAU